UACGGAGGAUGCAAGCGUUAUCCGGAUUCAUUGGGUUUAAAGGGUGCGUAGGCGGACUAUUAAGUCAGUGGUGAAAGCCUGCAGCUUAACUGCAGAACUGCCAUUGAUACUGAUAGUCUUGAGUUUGGUUAAGGUAGGCGGAAUGUGUAAUGUAGCGGUGAAAUGCUUAGAUAUUAGACAGAACACCAAUUGCGUAGGCAGCUUACUGAGCCGACACUGACGCUGAGGCACGAAAGCGUGGGGAUCAAACAGGA
rnacentral:rRNA from 1 species